UACGAAGGGGGCGAGCGUUGUUCGGAAUCACUGGGCGUAAAGGGCGCGUAGGCGGCCCUCCUUGUCGCGUGUGAAAGCCCCGGGCUCAACCUGGGAACGGCGCGCGAGACGGGGGGGCUGGAGUUCGGGAGAGGAGCGUGGAAUUCCCAGUGUAGAGGUGAAAUUCGUAGAUAUCCGGAGGAACACCAGUGGCGAAGGCGACUUUCUGGCCUGUUCUUGACGCUGAGGCGCGAAAGCUAGGGGAGCAAACGGG
rnacentral:rRNA from 1 species